CCAUAGUCACGGGUUUAACCGGUGAUAAACCAGUUGGGCCGGCACGAGUACUCCCCCAUCCCCCCUCUAAAAAAUCCAUUCGUCUCCACCCCAAUCCCCGUCAAGUGUGGUCGGGCGGCCUACCACGUACACAUGUACGCCUCCACCGCUUAGCUCCACCUCCACCGCUAGACAAGCACAAUCUUAUCCAUCCGUCUCCACCCAUUUCGGUUCUUCUCUAGCUCCAUCUCUCUUUUCUCAUCCCCAUCUAUCUGCAUCUGUACUUCACCCAUAUGCGCAAAGCGACAGAGAGAGCAAGACGCGGAGCUACCGCGUGAGAAGAGCAAGCAAGCUCAACAAUCGCCGCAGGGCAGGGGCCGCCAUGAGCACUGGCUCCGACCUCAACGAGUCCGCGGCAACGACGACGGCAGCUACCUCCUUCGUGUCCUCAUCAUGCUCCCUGCAGCCGCAGACGCCCCCGCCAACCGCCGGGUGAAGAAUGGCCCGGAGGCAGAGGAGGUGUGGUGUAGUUCGCAGUGGGAGGCGGCGUGGCCACGGAGGGCGCGGCCGGUGGUGCUCGCCGGGGAAUACGGGACCCCGGACGGUGCCAGGGCAGGCGCCAGGGAUUCCAAGGGCGCAACUUGGGGCGUGCCAGGAGCCUGAUGGAUGACGACCUGGAGGAACUCAAGGGGUGCGUGGAUCUGGGGUUCGAUUUGCAGCAGCAGCAGACCCCCCGCCGAGGAGCGAGGUGGGACUAAAUCACGACACGGGAGAUUGAGAAGGUUACGGCGGAGGUGGCCAGAGAGGACUCGCGGCGGCGGACGGGGUCGCAACGGCGCCACGUCUGGAUAAGACAAAUCAGAGGAUCGCAUUUGAAUUCUUAUAGAUGUAGGGGUUUUUGUAAAAAGUGUAACGUUAUCUUAGAUUAAUGAGAAAAGGGACUGAGGGUUGAAUUUUCACAAAACACGAGGACUUUUAUGCAAAAUCGCUAGCGACGACGGAUGAUGGAAACCCAAUUCUCUUUGUUUUAUUAUUAGGUAAGGAUAAAGAUAUAUAUAUACAUGUAUAUAUAUACUUCCUCCGUUCCUAAA